GUCCCCACUUCAGCAGCACAGAGGAUAAAAUUGGAGUGCUGUAGAAAAGAUCAGCAUGGUCCCUGUGCACGGAUGACAUGCAAAUUCGUGAAGUGGUCCAUACAUUU